GGUUAUGACUCAGUGGUAUAGCUCUCGCCUCACAUGUGUGAGGCCCUGGGUUCAAUCCUCAGCACCA
rnacentral:tRNA from 1 species